GGGUGCUUAAGGCUUUCUGUCUUAAGCAUUUCUCUACGUCAUUCCGAACGAUGGUGAGUAUGUGAGAGGCAGAAAGUUGAAAGCCCCGGGCAAUGUUUCCAUUAACCCGAGGCUACUCUCAACCACCUUCAACAAGUGGAGAGUAGCCUCUUACCCUUUUGUUUGCAAGGAGUAAAAGGCAUG
rnacentral:antisense_RNA from 1 species